rnacentral:lncRNA from 1 species
CUCGAACUCGUAAACGUAGUAUGAUGAAAACCCCAACUUUCUAAUCCUUGAAUUUCAACCUCAACCUCACAAUCCCGGCUAAUCCCGGCUAAUCCCGGUGGGUAUUCCUUGUGAACUCGUUUGCCCAGUUCGGAUGAUGGCACUGGAAGGGAUAAAGAGUCUUGGCCCCAUCUUUCAUAGCCCACGAGAAGUACCACAAGCAAGCUGAUAGAGGGAGACUGAGUUCGGCAUUUUGUCGAGCGGUUUGAGGCGCCCGUUCCCG